rnacentral:rRNA from 1 species
GAUCAUGGCUCAGGAUAAACGCUGGCGGCGUGCCUAAUACAUGCAAGUCGAACGAGGGAAGGCAAGCUUGCUUGCCGGAACGAGUGGCGAACGGGUGAGUAAUACAUAAGCAACCUGCCUGUAAGGACCGGGAUAAUGCCUGGAAACGGGUACUAAAACCGGAUAGGCAUAGAUGGGGCAUCCCAUUUAUGUUAAAGGUGAGAGACACAAACAGAUGGGCUUAUGGCGCAUUAGCCAGUUGG